AUGCUGGAGGUAUCAGAAGUGCGAAUGCUGACAUAAGUAACGAUAAAGCGGGUGAAAAGCCCGCUCGCCGGAAGACCAAGGGUUCCUGUCCAACGUUAAUCGGGGCAGGGUGAGUCGACCCCUAAGGCGAGGCCGAAAGGCGUAGUCGAUGGGAAACAGGUUAAUAUUCCUGUACUUGGUGUUACUGCGAAGGGGGGACGGAGAAGGCUAUGUUGGCCGGGCGACGGUUGUCCCGGUUUAAGCGUGUAGGCUGGUUUUCCAGGCAAAUCCGGAAAAUCAAGGCUGAGGCGUGAUGACGAGGCACUACGGUGCUGAAGCAACAAAUGCCCUGCUUCCAGGAAAAGCCUCUAAGCAUCAGGUAACAUCAAAUCGUACCCCAAACCGACACAGGUGGUCAGGUAGAGAAUACCAAGGCGCUUGAGAGAACUCGGGUGAAGGAACUAGGCAAAAUGGUGCCGUAACUUCGGGAGAAGGCACGCUGAUAUGUAGGUGAAGUCCCUCGCGGAUGGAGCUGAAAUCAGUCGAAGAUACCAGCUGGCUGCAACUGUUUAUUAAAAACACAGCACUGUGCAAACACGAAAGUGGACGUAUACGGUGUGACGCCUGCCCGGUGCCGGAAGGUUAAUUGAUGGGGUCAGCGCAAGCGAAGCUCUUGAUCGAAGCCCCGGUAAACGGCGGCCGUAACUAUAACGGUCCUAAGGUAGCGAAAUUCCUUGUCGGGUAAGUUCCGACCUGCACGAAUGGCGUAAUGAUGGCCAGGCUGUCUCCACCCGAGACUCAGUGAAAUUGAACUCGCUGUGAAGAUGCAGUGUACCCGCGGCAAGACGGAAAGACCCCGUGAACCUUUACUAUAGCUUGACACUGAACAUUGAGCCUUGAUGUGUAGGAUAGGUGGGAGGCUUUGAAGUGUGGACGCCAGUCUGCAUGGAGCCGACCUUGAAAUACCACCCUUUAAUGUUUGAUGUUCUAACGUGGACCCGUAAUCCGGGUUGCGGACAGUGUCUGGUGGGUAGUUUGACUGGGGCGGUCUCCUCCUAAAGAGUAACGGAGGAGCACGAAGGUUGGCUAAUCCUGGUCGGACAUCAGGAGGUUAGUGCAAUGGCAUAAGCCAGCUUGACUGCGAGCGUGACGGCGCGAGCAGGUGCGAAAGCAGGUCAUAGUGAUCCGGUGGUUCUGAAUGGAAGGGCCAUCGCUCAACGGAUAAAAGGUACUCCGGGGAUAACAGGCUGAUACCGCCCAAGAGUUCAUAUCGACGGCGGUGUUUGGCACCUCGAUGUCGGCUCAUCACAUCCUGGGGCUGAAGUAGGUCCCAAGGGUAUGGCUGUUCGCCAUUUAAAGUGGUACGCGAGCUGGGUUUAGAACGUCGUGAGACAGUUCGGUCCCUAUCUGCCGUGGGCGCUGGAGAACUGAGGGGGGCUGCUCCUAGUACGAGAGGACCGGAGUGGACGCAUCACUGGUGUUCGGGUUGUCAUGCCAAUGGCACUGCCCGGUAGCUAAAUGCGGAAGAGAUAAGUGCUGAAAGCAUCUAAGCACGAAACUUGCCCCGAGAUGAGUUCUCCCUGACCCUUUAAGGGUCCUGAAGGAACGUUGAAGACGACGACGUUGAUAGGCCGGGUGUGUAAGCGCAGCGAUGCGUUGAGCUAACCGGUACUAAUGAACCGUGAGGCUUAACCUUACAACGCCGAAGGUGUUU
rnacentral:rRNA from 1 species